AUACCGGAUAUGACCAACUGUCGCAUGGUGGUUGGUGGAAAGCUUUUGCGGUGUGGGAUGGGCCCGCGGCCUAUCAGCUUGUUGGUGGGGUAAUGGCCUACCAAGGCGACGACGGGUAGCCGACCUGAGAGGGUGAUCGGCCACACUGGGACUGAGACACGGCCCAGACUCCUACGGGAGGCAGCAGUGGGGAAUAUUGCACAAUGGGCGCAAGCCUGAUGCAGCGACGCCGCGUGAGGGAUGACGGCCUUCGGGUUGUAAACCUCUUUCACCAGGGACGAAGCGUGAGUGACGGUACCUGGAGAAGAAGCACCGGCCAACUACGUGCCAGCAGCCGCGGUAAUACGUAGGGUGCGAGCGUUGUCCGGAAUUACUGGGCGUAAAGAGCUCGUAGGCGGUUU
rnacentral:rRNA from 1 species